AUUAAACCGUAUAUAGCUAUUGUGAUUUGUGCUGCUAUAAACAUUGAUGUGGCUGUGUCCCUGUAGUAUGCUCUUCUUAGGUCUUACAGCCACAUCAAUGUUUAUAGCAGCACAAUUCACAAUAGCUAGAAUGUGGAAU
rnacentral:miRNA from 1 species